AAAAAAAGGAACUCUAAGAUUGAAACAAUUUUUCAGUAUGAAAAUCACCUAACCUUGUAAAUGCAAAAAAAAAAAAAAAUCUCUUUCAUUAUGAUUAUAAACUGUAUUAUCAUAAAAUCAGUGCAUAAAAAUGGUAAUUAAAAUGCUUUUGCUAAGAUCAAUUUUGAUUCUCGUGGAGGUCAUUAAGGCCCAAAGAAUGAACUAGAUUACAUAAAUCAGCUUCUAUGUAAUUAACUAAUAUGCUUACUUAUGUUAUUUGAAGAAUCAUUUAAUAAUAAAUAGGUAAAAACCAACAACAUGGAAAGCUGAUGAAACGAAAACGUAAACGAAACACAAGUUUAUGAAUAACAAACUUUUAUUGAAUAAAUCUCAAUUGAAAAAUUUAGGGUUUUGGACAUGUUAUAUAAUAACCCUAAAUAUUAAGAAUUUACCAAAAUACGUAAAUCGAAAAUAUUAUUUUAUAAUAAAAUUCUCCUAAUCUAAAUAAGAAAAGGAAAAUAAACGGUGUUCAAAUUUGAAUUCUAGAAAAAAAAAUUCCUAAGAGAAUAAAAAAAAUAGAAAAAAAUCUUAAAACUGAGAACGACUAAGAAAGAAGCGGAAUUUCUAGCUCGACCAUGCGGUAAAAUGGCACAAGCAUUAUGGGUUUGGUUUGUUUGACCGCAAACUUCAAAAUGGUAUAUAAUACGCAGAAAACGAACACUUAUAACUUAAGUUAUGCCCUCAAAAAGAUAUCUUGCUCAUACUACACAACCAUCCUAUAUCAAACAGUAGGGAUAUAUACAAGAAAAAGAGAAAACAUAAUACUUCAAGGGUCUAAAUGUAAAAAUUCUUAGUACUUGUUUUCCUGAUAUAAAUAAAGAGCAUUAAAGAGUCAUCGUGUUGAAAGUAAAGCGCCCAGCGUGGAAUCAUUGUGGUAAUUUAGCUAGGCAAAUACUGGAUAGGAGGAAAAUGAGGACGGCCAUUCCAGAAGAACCCUUGGGCUCAACAGGGAAAUCGAUUCCUCUUGUAGGCUUUGGAACCGUUGAAUAUCCAUUGAAUGAAGCCUUUAAAGAACGCGUUCUGCAUGCAAUUAAGCUGGGGUAUAGACACUUUGAUACUGCUGCAGCUUACCCAUCCGAGCAACCUCUUGGCGAAGCAUUGGCCGAAGCUUUACGUCUUGCCUCGUUCAAUCCCGCGACGAGCUUUUCAUCACCUCAAAACUCUGGCUCACCGACUCCUAUCGCGGCCGUGUCAUCCCGGGCCUACAAAAAACUCUCAAGUAAUUGUAGGAUAACUAUAACUUAAAAAUUAUAAUAUUAGGUUCGAUAAGCGCUAGCUAUUAUGGUUUUAAAACUAAAUUAUGUAAUCCACUACUUCCAUGAUGAAAAAAUUAUAAUAUCAUUACUAUUUUUGUUAAAAUUAUUAUUUAAAAAUCAUAUUUACUACAUAUUAUGAAAAAAUUCAUAAUGAAAUCAUAUUUACUGCAAAAAUUCAUCCUGCUGUCAAUCAGGUGAGUUAAUGAAAUUAAAAUAUUGGGACGAAAUAUUGUUUUAUGCCUCUAUAUAUAAAAUCCAUUUUGUUUGGUAAGGUAGAGACGAAUCCGAUUUGGCAGCAAAAGAAGCUGCGAGAGUAUCGUAAGGAGAAGGGGAUUCAUUUUUCAGCUUGCUCACCACUGGGAGCCGUAGGGACUAACUGGGGACACAAUCGAGUUAUGGAAAAUGAGGUGCUCAAACAGAUCGCCGAAGCUAAUGGAAAGACUGUUGCUCAGUUAAUUCAUAAUUCAUUUUUCCUUUCAACUUGAGAAUUAAAAUACAACAACGAAACCUAUCAAUCACUUUCAUCUGCAGGGUUAAAUUGAAUGCUAACAGUAUUUAUUUUGUUUCAAAAAAGUUUUUAUAUUCGAGAAAUAAUUCUUUUUAGAGGCUUAAUUAGAAGUUGAAGAAAUGUAAAAGAUUAUUCAGUUCAUUGCUGCUCAGUAAAUUCAAUAAAAAUGAAAGUAGGCAAAAUUGUAUUAUUAUAUGAACCUAUAUAUCUAUCUGUAAAAUCUCAUAAGUUCAAACAAGAGAGUUAGGAUUUGAACCCUACUCAGAUGGGUGGGAAAAGAGUUUAAUUACCAAUAUACUAUUCAUAAAUAAUACUAAUAAUAAGAAGCUAUGUUUUAAAGUUGUAUGACAUAUCUAAUUGCAAGUUAUGAAAUUUUAUUAUUGAAUAGAUGAAUGAACAUCAUACAUUAAUUGAGAUGAUUUCUUGUAAUAGAAGCGACAGAACAAUACAAACAUCCUAUAUAUAUAGAGAGAGUCAUUCUCUAGUGUGGGUGCUUACUUGUUUUAGAAUGCAGAUUUGAAAUUUCACAAUAGUGUCAACAUGCCUGAGAAUAAUUACAUAUUUCCUCAUAAAUAGUUGAUUUUUUUUCCUCUUUUUAUUUUUUCUGGUGCAUGUAAAGGUUGCUAUUAGGUGGUUUUACCAGCAAAGGGUGAGUGUCAUUGUGAAGAGCUUUAAUAAAGAACGAAUGGAACAAAACCUUGACAUAUUUGACUGGGAGCUAAGUGGGGAAGAGCUUCAAAAGAUAGAACAAAUUCUGCAGUACAGAGGAAGCCGUGCUGAGGCGUACCUAUCAGAGAAUGGUCCUUUCAGAACUGUGGAGGAAAUAUGGGAUGGAGAAAUUUAAUAUAAUAGUAUGCCUUUGUUUUUCUGUUCUGUAAUGCCUAUUCUAUUUACAUUAUGUAAUUCUUGUUUCUAAAAUAACUCUUCACAUUUUAGGCUUUUCUUUUUGGUGUGUGUCUAUGGUUGGGGGUGCCGGGGGGAUUCAGCCUUGAGCUUGAGAAAAAUAAAGUUACAGAAGUACACCAAAUAUUCUUAAUUCUAGUUUCUUGUGCAUCACAACACCAGUAGCAAACAUGAUAGAUUUAGCACCCUUGCAAUCAACAAGUUCUUUUGCAUGAGUACACAAGGAAGUAAGAAACAUACAGACACAUGAAGGAUUUCUGAUUAAACAAAUGACUUUAAGAAUAAUAAUAAUAAUAAUCACAUCGUAGUUGGACAGAACACGAAACAACAUCAGCAUCUCCCAAACUGUUUUAACACACCUUUCACUCAAUAAAUUAAACAUAAAAUAAUAGUAAUCACAAACUUAGCUGAAAUAUCAGCAAUACCAGCUUCAGUUUGUUUACAAGAACAAAGUACAACAAGGAAACAUUGACAGAUUUCUGCAAAAUUUUGCACACUACAAAUGAAGAUACGCAAUAAAAUAAAAACAACUGCAAAGAACAGAAAAUUAAUUUUCAUUUAUCAAACAGAGCAUAGCAGAAAGUAUCAAGAACUAAAAUAAAGCAUUACCCACACUGCAAACCUACUCGUUUGAUGCACAUUGUCCAUGUACUUGUGUUGGAAACCCUACGAGCCAACAGUAUUACAAAUACAAAUUAAAUUGCAUGUAGAUGAUACCAAAUGCUCAAUCUAAAAGAACCCCCCGCCCCUCCUUCCAAAUUACUCAAACCAAUAGUCUAAACUUAGCCUAACAAACUUUACUUAAAUAUCUCGUCCAAUUCGCAGCUGCACAAUAAAGUGGUUACACGUCAUCAGACAAAUAACCUUGCUUUCAUGCAUACCCACAACCAGGAGAAGGCCAUUCCUUACAAGUCUGUGGGCUUCUUGUAAAGAACAUUCCAGUGUCACUAAAAUCAUAGUAUAAGUGGAAUGCAAAACGCCAAACACAUUACAAAAGAAGAAUAAUGAGCCUCUCAAGCUCUCGUGAGCUUUUAAAGAUCUUAUACCAUGUGUUUUUAAGUGAUAGUGUUGAGUAGGAUUUAACUUCUUCAUUUUCUUUAUUUAUUAUUAAUUACCAAUCAUAUUUUUGCUGAUGAGAAUAUCAAAUCAUGAGAGAAUCCUAAUCCACAAAAAAAAUAUCUGCAGAACCAAACGCACUUAAACUAUUGUUUUAAUAUAUUUAUUAUUUAAAAUGAAAAAUUAUAACUUUAUUUAUGUAUUUUUGAAAAUCACGAAACUACCUUCCCAUUAGUAUAAUAUUUUUGUUUCUUAACUUCUUCUCUCCAAGGGCGUAAGCCGAAAACUUUUGUUACGAGGGCAACAUGAAUAAUGUACAAUAGUUAAGUUAAGAUUUCAAAGAGUGAAACGAUAACAAAUUUAGAGGCGAGCUAUUAAAGCUUGCUUUUGAAUUGAAUAUCGAAUUAGAGAAGAAAAUUAUGAUUGUUUUACCACCUAUUAAAAAAAAAGUUAUAAUGAAUACGUAGGAUUUUUGGUAUUGUGAAUGGUUAGACCAUUUACCUUAAAUAUUAAUAAUUACUUCAGAGAUAUUUUCAAUUUCAAUUGUAAUUUAAUACAUAACAUGAGUACUGGAAAAAAUAAAAUUCUGAAAAUUUUCCAAGGUCGUGUAUCAUGUCCGUUACGCUCUGCCGACAGCCGCUCAGCCAUCUUUUUUAAUUAGCACGAAUCAUUUUUUCAUCUAUUUGUCUUUUCUUUCUUUUUCUUUUUCUUUGUUUCCUAAAAGCAAUGACCGAUAAUGCGAGGAAAGCAUGCUGCAACAUGCAAAUAUUGUGCAGGAACUUUACUCUGUCACAAUGGGACAGAUCAAUUUUGAUUUAGAUGUCCAACUUUCAAUUAUCUUUUUUAAUUGUAUUUUUCAAAAGGUAAGAGAGUAGAUCACAAACUGAUUUUUUUGUCCGCUACUUCCUCAAGAUUCAGAUAUAGUGAUCAUCAAAUAAAACUGUUUGAAGCCACUCAUCUAAUUCCGUAGAGCCCCAGCUCUCAGUAUAUAUCUUCAUUACUCAGACACUCACUUCUUUUUUAUUUUCCUUAUUUCGUCAUCCGGCUAAUCUUUGAGAAUUGGCUAACUCAAAAGGCUAAGGGAAAGAAAAUGACAUAAGGCAGUUCCAUCAAUUUCAGUUGUUUGUGGCUAAUUGCUCAACUUCAAUGGAGCAAUAUUAGGCAUAGGUAAUGGGCUACUGUGUUGAGAGAGAAAGUUGCUACUGUUGCUGCGUUGAGAGAGAAAGUUGCUUCUGCAUCUCAACUUUGUGUGAUGUUGCUGUCGUAAUUGAGGAUCGAUUGCUGCGUUCAGAGAGAAAGCUGUUGCCACUGCGUCUCAGAUGUGUGGUGGUGCUGCGUCUCUGCUCUGAUUCGGUUGGUGAUGGUGCUACUGCUGCUGCUGCGUCUAUUUCGGUAAAUUUUGUUGAUAUGAAUGUUAAUUGAUUUUCUUUUUCUGGGUUUUUUUCAUAUGAUUUAAAUUGAUUUUUUGUUUCUAUGUUUUGUUCAUAUGAUUGUUAAUUGAUUUUUUUUAUUCUUUCCUUUAUUUGCUAUGAUUUCGUUUCUUUUUGGGUUAAAUUUAGGAAGUAUGAGUCUAAUUUUUAUUGAAUGUAUGAUAUGUGAUGGCCCUACCUACAGUUAUUUUGGGCUAAUGUGUCAGCUACAGGCUCUGUGGAGAGUAAGGUAGAAUAGUUUAUGAAUAAAUUAAAAGGAUGGUCAUAUAGAUGGUUAAGGCUGAAAUUGCAUAAAAGUUCUCCUCAGCUUUUACCCUAUAAGUAAGUGUGAUAUUUUUGAAACCAAGGUUAAACACAAGAGUUAGGAUUAUGGUAUUGCAUGUUCUUUCUGGAACUUUAAUUGCUAUCUCCAUUAUGGUUCUCUUAUAUCUUUUUGUUUACAUCAAAGAAAGAUGGGUUAUGGAAUAGGGACUUUCAGGUUUUUCUGUGAACUUCCCUUGUGUUCACAUGUUUAUGCUUCACUCUAUGCUUUCAUUAUUUCCUCAUUUUAUUUUUCCACUUUCAAUAUCAUUGGUUCAUCAUAGUUUCAAGGAUUUUGCAAUGAAAUUUGCGUAUUGAUGCAUUCGCAACCUUUUCUUUUUAUGUAUUUCUUAUUGCCAACUUCUAUGCUCCCAUUCGAUAUAAUGAUGUUGACUGCAAAGACAUAAACGGGUGAAGAAAAUAUUUGUUGUGACGCAUGAGGAGCUAAAGGUGAUUCAUUAAAAUACUCUCAACCUUGAACCACAUUCAAUUUCUAUUUUCCAGUCUGAUUUAUAUGUGCAUAUUCUUAUAUUGUAGCAUCUUAGGCGGAGGAUAAAAGACUUUGCAUCUACAUACAUGAAGAAUUGAAGAUUAAUAACUAUACUACUAUUCUUGUGAUGGGCUUGCUACACAGCAGGGGGCAAAAUGUCUAAAAGCAAACAGCGGGGGGCAAAAAGUUUAAGUGGCUUUGCUCUCGCUCCUGUAAAAUUAUGGAAGUAUUUCAAACAUUUUCAAUACAUCAAAAGAUAAUGUUAAAAGAUUUGGGAAUUAGAUAAAAAGGCAAGAAUGUAGCACUAAUGCAGAUUAUUGAGAAAUGAUUCAAUUUUUGGGGGUUUAAUAGAAUCAUUAACCUUCUUGACAUUCCUCAGUUAAGCAUGAUAUAAGUAGUCAAUUUUACAACGCAGAUGAACUCAAAAAUUGGCUAAUCAAAUAUGAACUUCCUCGUCAGAAGUGAAUUUUGCUCGUGGAAGGGUAAAAAAGUAUCAAGAGUACGCAGCCAUGCAGGGCGAGGAUUUGAUGGUUUGAGAGCUGUUAAAGUGUCGUCUCCCUCUCAGCAAACUCUAACAGUAAUUUUUAAUAAAUAUAUAUUUUAUUUAAAUCAUGUGCUGUAAAAUACAAAAAAAAAUCAUGUGCUGUAAUAUAUAUUUUAAUUAUAGGGUAAAAUAAUGAAAAUGUGAAACUUUCUUUUUUAAUUAAUGUUAAUACCAAAAUAUUUAUGGUAUGUUUGUGUAUGUAUUAGUUAAAACAAUUACUUUGUAGGUAUAAGUAUGACUUAAAUAUUUAUGCAUAAGUUAGAUAUUAUUUAAUUGUUCUUCAGAUUUUCAUUUUAAAUUAUUUGCAUCUAUUUAAGUGAUAAUCCUAUUUUGCACAAAAUGAAUUAUAGAGUAAACUAAGUAUAAAUUUAUGGAAUGAUUUUUUGGAUUAUUGUUUAAAAAUAGGAAUAAAAUAAGCUACCGUUUAAAAUACAAGAUGAAAUGAGUUAUUGUAUCAAAUCUCAUAGGUGAAAACAAGAGUAAACUAAGUAUAAAUUUAUGGAAUGAUUUUUUGGAUUAUUGUUUAAAAAUAGGAAUAAAAUAAGCUACCGUUUAAAAUACAAGAUGAAAUGAGUUAUUGUAUCAAAUCUCAUAGGUGAAAACAAACUUUUCCCUUAAUUUUCCAGCUUUUAUUGAGGCAAUGUAUUACCUGAUCAUUUGCAAAAAUUUUGGACACUAGUUUGGGAAAUUUCAUGUUAUUCUUAGCCUAACUCAUACUUGCAGGCUUCAACAAGUUGUAUUAAACCAUUAGUUGCAUACACCCGUUCACUGUUUGUUAAAAUGCAUUAAAUGUGUUCUUUUAUCAGCAGGUGACCGGCUCAUAGCCUUUUCCUUAGGUUUCUUCCAUUUGUCUUUGUGUCUCAUCUACAGCCGUCAGAUCAAAUCCACUGCUCACUUUGCUAAGAGACAAAUGACUGGGGUACCAGAGGCAGGACGCAAUGUAGUUAUGCCCUGUGUUUAUAUAUAUUGCAUAUUCUUUAGAAUUAUUUUGUUAUUAAGUUAUCUCUAGUUCAUUAAAUUUAUGUAGCAAGUCAAAUGUUUUUUAAUUGUUCCCAAAUUUUUUUUGCUUUAAAAUGGUUUCCAUUUAUUCAACUGAUCUUCCUAUUAUGGACAACAUGAACUAUUGGGUAAACUUACUGUAAAUUCAUGGAAGAAUAUGUUUUAGUUAUUAUUUGAAACAUAGCAUUGAAAUGAAGUAUUGUGUAAAAUACAAGGAUGAAUUGACGUAUCCAACCUUCAUAGUGACAAGGAUUUUUUUCCCUUAUUUUUCAACCAAUUAUUUAGGGAACGCAUUGCCUGAUUUUGUAAUAAUGAUAUUUCAGACACUAUCUUCGAAACUUUCAUAUGGAUCUUACCCCAACCGGUACUUCCACACUUCCAACAAGACGUUUUCAACCAUUAGUUGCAUACGCCAAUUUGUUGUUCCUUGAAAUGCGUUGGUUGUUAACAAACCUCCUUUCUAUUACAUGUGUUCUUUUAUCAAACACUUGUUUCCCUUACAGGUGACUGCCGCAUUACCUUUUCGUCAGGUUACUCCCAAUUGUCUCUAUGUUCCUUCUGUGGCAGUCAAAUCAAAUCGAUCGAUCGCUUUACUAAAAAAUCUCUAACAUACAAUAAAAAUUACAACUCGUACAAUCUGAUUAAAACACAAAAGAGUUCACAUAGCUUGUACACAUCCUUUCCUCCAUCUAUUUUUCCCCUUGCUAAAUGUUUUUUCGUCCAUAUAGCUAGAUGACAGCUAAGUGUGGUUUGUAACUACUGAUGCAACAUAGAUGCAGCCUGUUCUUGAACACCUUUUCCUAGUUUCAAAUAGAAGUGAGAGAGAGUUGAUGCUGAAAAGACUGCCAGACUUAUAUUUUUCCACGAGAAUUAUGUGUUACGUGGAACUAAUUUUCAUUUACUUUCGUGAUCUUGUUACAAUGUUAGCUCUUUGUUCAUGAAUUGAUUAAUACGCGUAUGUUUUUUACUCAAAAGUCUUCAUCUUAUUAAGUUGGAUCAUAAUUUUCCUCUUCUUUUUAUCCGUGUUGUCCUCUAUUACCUAGUAUCUCUCCUCUAGGAUGAGCAAUAAUACCCAUAUGAAAAUUCAUUGAUUUGUCAGUGUUUGAUUUAUGACAAGCGGAUUUCUAAUCCUACAAUUUUUUUGGGCCAAAUGAGAAUUAAUAUGGUAUUAACUUCUGUAUCUUGACUGGUAGUGUUUUAAGAAGUAGCAUUUGCUCAUGAUUUGACUUCACAAAACAAUAUCCAGUGCGCUUGUAUUAACCCUGCUGCGUUUUUUCUCAAUAUCCGUUUCUAUUAUUUAUUAAAGACUUUUGUGAAUAUCCAAAUUUAAUAUGAGAAAACAGAUCCUCUAGCUAGUCGGCUUAACACAGAUCGAAUAUUAAUAAUAAAAAUGAUAUUACUUUUUAAGCUUUUAUGUCAAAUUACGCAUGCAAAAUAAUAAGAAUUUUUUUUCCCAUACGCGUAUGUAUUUUGGAGGAGACACGUCCUCGAGUUCAUCUCUAAAAUCGAAAUGUGGUAUGGAAAGUGUAUACAAGUAUUUGCCCAUAUCACAGCCACAUAAACGGCGCAGUCUCAUUCUAUCAUUUUUUUGCCCUCUUCUCAAAUUUUUUUGAUAAUAAUUUUUUAUAUCACUCUUUAAUUCACCAUACUCUGUUUUAGUUAAUUCUAUUUAUUUCUCAAAUUACUUUCAUUAAAAAUUGUUUAUCUCUAUUGUUUCUCAUUUGCUCUUCUCAAUAUAUUUGAAGACUAUUGGUAUGCUUACUAACCCGCAAUCGGAAUGAGAAUUCUAGGAUUGGAAUGAAUAAUGCAUUUACUUGUAAAAUUAAGACUUGAAAUCAGAAUCAAAAUAGUGUUAAAUCCACAAAUUUGAGAAUCACUAUCAUAGUUCUAAUCCCCAAGCGAGGAGUUUGGAAUCAGAAUUUGAUUUUUAUAACUAACCAUUUUACUCUCGUUAAAUUUUCAUAAUCUCUAAAUUGCUCCCAAUUAUGUUCUGUUAUUUUUUCUUUUUGAUUCCCAUAAAGUUUAUCAAAAAACUCAAAAAUUUGAAUUAUUUGCAAAUAGGUCCUUUAUUGUUUAUUAUAAUAAUAAUAAUAAUGACAAUAAUAAUAGUAACCAAAUCCUCCCAGGAUCCUCCACCAAGAUUAAUCAAGAUGCAUUCAACAAAUAAGAUCAGGUUUAAAGAAUCAAUUAAACCUAACUAGACUUGAUACAAAAGAUUAUUCACCAACACAGAAAACAAGCAAUAAGAAGAAACCAAUAACAAUGAACAGAACGCAGAGCUCUUAACGUGGUUCAGCCAUUAAUGGCUUACAUCCACGGGUGAAUUCAUCAGCAGGCUUUAUUGAAGGAUUCAAGAAGCUUAUUACAGAGACUUUGAGAACAAAGAACAAGUAUUCACUUUCUCUCAGAAUUCUCUCAAUCUCUCACUCACGUUACCCCUCAUCCCUGAAGGCCAGCAGCUUAUAAACCAGUUUCUUUAACAGUUUAGCAACCCAGAACGCACAGCUUUUCGACACGUGUGUGUUGAGUCUGUUUAUAACGAACUUGGCUUCAAUCGAUGGUCACGUGAUUGCUCCGUGAUCUAACAAAAACCAAGUGUUAUCAAAACGAUCACACACGAUGCCGUUUCGGUUCAAUGACGAGCCGUGCUUGUCAUGUGAGUUACUUAAGGCUUGAAACAACUGAAAAACGCUGCCGUUUGCUGAGAGGUGUUUGUAUUCGCCUUACCGCCAACAAAUUUUUUGUUAGGUUUGUUUUCGGUGUGAUUUUUUUAGAUUUAGGGUUUUACUGGGGAUUUUAUGAAAUGGGUAUGUGAUAAAAUUUUAGGUUUUUCUUAGUUCAAUUUAACAAUCUGGUCAGAUUCAUCCAUCGUGCUUCAGCUGCUGACCCUACAUAUUUGAGGAUAAAUUUAUCUUCUGCCUGUUUUUUUAUAGAAUUAGCAUUCGUCUGUUCUUUUUUUUAAAUUAUGAUAUGUUUGUUAACCAUGCGAGUCUGUAUAAACCAUUCAUUGAAAAAAGAAAUGUAACUUAAGAUGAUGACUUAAAUUUUCAUCCGUUUCAUUUCAUUCAAUCUAAAAGUGUAUAUUUUUUUGUCAAAAAGCUGCAAUGAGUCACCUUUAUUCUUCUAUUAUUGAAAUGAAUAGAUCAACCGAAUGAAGUUUAAUUAAAAUAUUGAAUAGAUUAAAUGGAUGAAAAUUGAAGUAAAAUGUUGAAGUUAAGGAGCCCUAAAAUUUAUAGAAGAAACUCGAUAAGAGUAACGACCGUUGAAAAUACGUUAUCCUUUAUUGUAAUAAUUUAAGGAUUUUGAUAUUAGAAAAUUGCUUUAUAUAUAUGUGUGUGUUGAAAAUAUAUUAUUCCUUACUUUAACAACUUAAGAGAAUUUUUAGAAAAUUAUACACACACACCCCCCUUCUAAUAAAAGAAUUACUUAAUUUCAUGUAAAGUAAAGGACAAUUUAAAAGUAAAAAACACAUAUUUUAAUAUACCAAAAAAUAAAAUACACUAUUUUGGAGUAUGUUUUGUAAACUUUCAAUUUGUCUUUUACUUGAUUGACGUAAGUGAUGCCUUAGUGUAAAAUUACUUCAUAUAUAAUAUAUAAUACACUACAUUAGAGUGUGUAUUUUAAUUCUCUUUUAGUUUAUCCCUUAUCUUAAUGAUUUAAGAGAUCGUUUACUAGAUAAUGACUCGUAUAUUUUAUUUUGACUUAAAUUUUUUACAUAAAUAUUGAGUUAUUGGUUUUGCAAAAUUUAAUCAUAGAUAAAUUGGUAUAAUUAGUGGUAGUUUAUAUGUGUGUGUAGUUCUUUUCUAAUGCGGGUGUCUUUAUUUUUUUCACCUAGAUAUAUUUUUAAAUCAUAGGAUUUAAAAGAAUUAAUUUUUAAUUCUUUUAAAUCAUAUAGUUUAAGAGCGUGUCCACAUUAUAAAAAAAAAUAUAAAUGCCGGCACUUGAAAAUAAUUAUAUAGAGGAGUACGCGUGGAGUGGAAGGAUAUAAUUAUCAUAUCCUGAUUGAACAAAACACCAGGCUAGCUCGAUUCUUUCUGCUAACACUAAAUAAUUAAUUAAUCAUGUUUCAUUUUUAUUAUGAUAAUUCCCAGUUUAUAAUCAUGCCGUUAAAUAAGAAAUUUACAUUAUAUGGCGGGGCCUCAUAACAAAAAAAAAAAAACUUUAUUUUAACUAGUGGAAAAGAACAAUAUAUUUAAAUUGGUCUUGGAGAAUGGCAGGUGAUUGAUCCCCAAUUAAAUUUGCACGAAUAAUUAAUCCAAAAACAUGUGACACUUGCUCAAUUAUUGUAUUAUGUGUCCUACGCUAUAAUUAAAGAAAAUGAAAUCCGUGACAAUGUAUAUGUAAUCAAGUAGCUGGUCCAAGAACCGCUAGAGCCACUCACUCCUUCACACAUUUGUGAAUUGGUUGGAGCUCCCGCAGACGUAUUGUAGGGAGCUUAAUUUAAAUUUUUUUUUUAGUCUCAGAGCUUGAGUGAAUGUAGUCUUUCUCUCAGGAGGGGAGUUGACGUUCCUCAAAUAUUUGAGAAGGUUAAAAAUCUGAGCGGUGCCAUAUCAAAAUUGAUAUAACAAAAUUAAUAUAAACAGAUCUCAGUAUUUAUAUGAUUGUAAAUAUCAUGAGUAAUAAUUCUCAUUUUAAAAAAAAGUAAUUGGUCCAUGGCGUAUUAAAAAAAAAGGGGGGUAGUUGGUCCAAGGGCAAGUUGUGAAUUAUUCCAAUAAAAAAAGUUAGUUCUCAUUCAAAAAAAAAAGUGGGGGUAGUUGGUCCAAGGGCAAGUUGUGAAUUAUUCCAAUAAAAAAAGUUGGAUUGUGACAGACACUACAUAUACUAAGAGGAUGGAUUAGGCCUUUUAACUGUUAUAAAAUUAUUUGAUUGUUAAUGACGUUUAUUAUUUAAAAUUAUAAAAUUAUUUUAAUAGAUAAGUAUAUUAAAAAUAUAUUAUUAAAGGAAUGAAAUAAAUAAGAGUAUUUUAAAAAAAAUUAUUUUUUAAAAAAAUCUACAACCUUAAUGGCCUAAAAACUUAAACUUUUGUUAAUAAAAGUAAAAUAAUUUAUUUAAUCUCUAAAAGUUCAACUCAAAAUACAACCAAACAGCACAAAAAAUUUUAAAAAGAGCUUUAAAAACGAAAUAAAUAUUUUUAGACAUUAGAUAAGCUAUAUUAAACAUGCACUUAUUACAUAUAUAGAUGGAUUAUAAUUUAAUAUCUACUCCCAUAAUUAUUAGGGUUAAAUCUUCUCUUAUACUAGGAACAUUACCCACCCCUUGGUGACUUGGAACUCAUAUCCUAAAUGUUGAGGGCAUGAGUUCUCACCUAUACCCUUAGAGGGAAGUCACCAUAAAUAUCUGUUUGCGGAGGAGCAAUAUUCACCAUACAAAGCCUCUAGUUGGACAAGCCCUCUUCUUUUAAUUUUUUUUCCUUUUUUUGAAUAUAUAUAUACAUACACGCACACACACAAAAAUCACAAUUGAAGCGCCAUAGAUAUAAUUAGGAGAACUUGCAACAAGAAGCUGCCGGCAUCUCCCACACAAGCUUGAAAAAGUAGCCAGUAAGAGUUGUGCACGGGGGAAAAAAAAAUGGGAAAUAAUAAUGUGAUGGGAUUGGCAGGUGGUGUCUUAGCAGCGAUCAUAGUUAUGAUGAUACUCUUCUUCACCGCGGAUCAAUCUUGUGCAGCAGGCAACGGCACCGCCAUUACUAAUUUCCAUAUUGAUCCUGAUGUGUUGUUCUUUUAUGAUGAUCCGGAAUCGGAAUUGGCUGCUGCUGCUGCAACAAACGUAUUGAAUUUGAAUCCCUUGAAGCGACGUCCAGUGUUCGAUUGCGGAAAAGGCCGAGGCCGAAGCUAUCGCUCUUGUACCCCUCCUCCCCAGGGUUCCAAAAGGGGUGAACAUUGCAAACCUGCACCCGGCGGCACGUACAAUCGAGGGUGCCAUUAUUAAGCCUUAAGUUUGUACUGCUGCAUUCAUGCAUAUGCAUUUAUAAAUAAAUUAAUUGAAACUUCUAAUUUGAUUAGUACUAAUUAAUUCGUUGUUAAAUUAGCUAGGUUACUCCAUCUUGAUGCUAUCGUUCAUGUUCACUCAUUUAAAUUCUACCAUACUCGUCCUGAAUUUAUUACUUUUCCAUGCGCGUGCGUGUUAACAGCCUGGAGAAGUAAUUAAUUAAUUGAUUAACCAUUGAUGGCAUUUUACAUCGAGCUGGACCUACUCUUAAUCACC
rnacentral:lncRNA from 1 species